UCAUUGUUGUUUUCUUGUUCCUUUCUAAAUAACAAAUUAUUGAUUUCUCCUUCUAAUCUCUUUUUCUCUCUGAGUCUGAGUCUUCUCUUUUGAUACAGAACUGGUAUUUAUAGCAUUAAUCAUUUCAAUGAACAAAGAACACCUGGGAGAUUUUUUCCACUUGGUUCAUAGUUCCCAGUCCCUCAUGAUCAAUCUUUUUUCAGUUCUUAAUCUAAAAUAAUCAUUUUCUAAUUUAACAUUUUUAAAUUAAUAAUUUUAAACAAUUGCAAAAUAAUUAUUGUAUUAUAUUUCUACAAAACAAGGGAGGCAGUCCAGGGAGGUCUCAGAAUCUCACAUCAUUUUCAGGAUAGAGUAUUUUUUUUCUGUACCCUCAAGACAUUUGUGUUUUUUAAUCUGCUUCAAUAAUUCUGCUUCUUGUUGCAUCAAUGGUGAAGAUUUUUCCUGUCAGUGCCUCUCUGUUGAGAUAUUGAAUUUUGACUUUUUUUGCUUUUAAAUGUGCCAGAAACUGUAGUUUUUUUCUGAAUAAUAUACAAUUUUCAUUUUUUAUAAUUUUUAUUUUCUGUUUUUAGGAUUAAAUAUUGCAAUUACUAAAUAAUGAUUAAAUAAAAAUGACAUGUAUCAAUCAUGCCAAUUUGUUGACAGUUUAAAAAUAAACUGAAAUCCAUUAUAUUCCAUUAUGCGAAUCCACUGAAUCUAUCAUGACUACCUGGCAUCAUGUGCAGAAUGCAGAAAUAUAUAGCAUAAGUCAGAGAAUAGCUAUAUAUCCAAUCAGAUUGGAAAUCUUCUAUUUUCACAGCAGUGGUAUACCCAGAAUCUUUAGUACUUGGGAUGGCAUUUUUUGCACCCCCUCUUCCCCUCUAAAAACAUGUGUUUUAACCAUCAAUGAUCAGCUUUCAAUACAUAUUUUAUUUUACAUUCUUAAAUAAUUUUUAAUUAAAAACUGAAAAUGAGACAAAAAUUUUCAUACACAGAUCUGGU
rnacentral:lncRNA from 1 species